CUCUCCCUUUAAAUAAAUAAUUAAAUACUCUCUAAUCUCUAUCCUGCCUCAGUUUCUCUGGCAUUACAUUUUGGAGUCCCCAGUGAGAUGUUAGAAAAUGAAAGUAAGAUUAGAGAUAAGAGACCUUCAGGUCUCCACCUUGGGCCUCAGGACAGGUGGGGAUCUGGAGAGGACGGCCCUCUGGAUUUUUUCCCAGAGCCUCCAAGAAAGAACAAUUUCCAGCCACAACUGUGCCUGACGUCUGACGGUGGACACUCCAAGGGAGAAUCUGGUCUGAAACCUCUGCAGAGUAAGUUUUUUGUCUCGUCUGAUUGCUAGCAAAUCUGGUCCUCAGAAAAAGUUGGGCUGAUGAGCCAUACAACUCUGGGAAAUGCCCAUAGGAUGUAAUGUGGCAUUAUCUGAAGUACCCUUUGGGUACAUGAGUACCUUUUGGUACUAUCUGGUUCUGAAGUAGCCUUUGGGUACCUGAGUACCUUUUGGUACUACCUGGUUUUAAUCUGGGCAUUCUCUGUGAAGGCAAAGAAAUAAACCAAACUGGGAGGGAAGACUCUCCAGCUGACAACUUCCCUCAAGGCUGUUCUUUUCAGAUAGCUAGCUCCUGGUCUCUGUGUUAAAUGUUUUGACUGUGCAGUCAUGUCCGUGUGUUCUAUGUGACUUGCUUGUCUGUGUCACUUGUUUGUGACUUGUUUGGUUCAGAGCUCUGCUAAAUUAAGAAAUUUGGGAAUUAGUUAAAAUUUGCUUGUAAUUUUAAACUUUUUAACCUGCUGUACUAAUUUGUGAGUAAAGUGAGAACAAAAAGGCAGAGUUUUUCCUUGAAGCAGGGUUUUAGAGCCUGCUAGAGUAAAGGGCAAUAAAACCUUAUCUGAUUGAAAUUCUGGCUGGAGAAACAUCUGAUUUGGAAUUUUAGGAUGGUUUUAAAAUUAUGGGAAAUAAUUUUCCUAUUGCCUUUGCAUGCCAGAUUUGUUCUGAGUAUUCUUUUGGGAAGUUUUAAAUUGUGGGAAAUAAUUUUACUGUUGCCUAGGCAGGCUAGAUUUAGUUAUCUUUGAAUGUAAGAUCUUAAGAACUUAUUGGAAUAAAGUUCUGUAAACUUACCUGAAAGAAGUCACGUGCCUCUAAUUAGGUAAAGAAAGGUCUGACUUUUCUAAAGGCUCAACUCUGGCCUAAGUUGGGGCUUAGGAAAAGUCCAUUGGGAAUAAUGGCCAUGUAAGGCCAGAGAGAAAUUAAUUAUUUGAAAUAUGAUAGGAUAAGCAGUUUUACAUUACUGGGAAUUUAAAAUGUAUUUGAUUGCAUUUUAACCUAAAAUAUAGGUUAUUAAAACAAAAUGCCAAUAGCUUACCUUGGGAGGUCAUGUUUGUAGCUCCCUACUUAGAUGAUAUGUUGCUUUCUAAAAGUAUUGGGUAAUUUGUAAACUAUGCUCUGUUGGGCAUAUGUAUUAAGUUUUAUGAAAUUUGGUUUUUUAAGUUAAAAAAAAGCGAUUUAAAGACAAGGGACAAGAAAGAUUGAUUUGCAAAAGCAAUUAAUAGUUUAAAUGGAACAUCUAGUAUUAGUUUGGGAGUGUUUAAAGCAUGUUGGAGAAGGUUUGAGCAAGUAAGCAUUGGGAGGAGAGAGAGAGCGAUGGGACAGGAAGAGAUGAUGGGAGAGAAGGAAGAAAAGAAAGGAAAAUAGCUUUCCAGAAAUGGGCACAAAUCCCUAGUGAAUUUGCCAUUUGCCAUGGGAAAGGAGAUACCCCAUGAGAUUUGGGCCUGUCUUUAGCUGGCAGAUUGGAUCCUGGGGGAAAUGGCACCCUAAAAAGGUUAGUUGUAAGAAGUUGGGGUCGAGAAGCAUGGUGGAAUGGGGGAAGGAUGACCACAUGGAAGAGGGACAAUCUAAUCCCCCUUCCCCGAUUAAGAUGGUGGUUUUUAAAAAAUUAUUAUUAUAGCUGUUUAUUUACAAGACAUAUGCAUAAGUAAUUUUUCAGCAUUUACAGUUGCAAAUCCUUUUGUUCCAACUUUUUCCCUCUUUCUCCCCCACCCCUUCCCCCAGAUGGCAGGUUGACCAAAACAUGUUAAAUACAUUAAAGUAUAAGUUAAAUACAAUAUAUGUAUACAUGUUCAAACAGUUAUUUUGCUGUAUAAAAAGAGUUGGACUUUGAAAUAGUGUACAAUUAGCCUGUGAAGGAAAUAAAAAAUGCAGCUGGACAAAAAUAGAGAGAUUGGGAAUUCUAUGUAGUGGUUCAUAGUCAUCUCCCAGAGUUCUUUCCCUGGGUGUUCAAUUCAUUACUGCUUUAUUGGAACUGAUUUGGCUCAUCUCAUUGUUGAAGAGGGCCAGGUCCAUCAGAUCUGGUCAUCAUAUAGUAUUGUUGUUGAAGUAUAUAAUGAUCUCCUGGCCCUGCUCGUUUCACUCAGCAUCAAUUCAUGUAAGUCUCUCCAAGCCCUUCUGAAAUCAUCCUUAUGGCCAUUUCUUAACAGAACAAUAAUAUUCCAUAACAUUCAUAUACCACAAUUUAUUCAGCCAUUCUCCAAUUGAUGGGCAUCCACUCAGUUUCCAAUUUCUGUCCACUUCAAAGAGGGCUGCCACAAACAUUCUUGUACAUACAGCCCCUUUCCCUUCUUUAAAAUCUCUUUGGGAUAUAAGCCCAGUAGUAACACUGCUGGGUCAAAGGGUAUGCACAGUUUGAUAGUUUUUUGAGCAUAGUUCCAAAUUGCUCUCCAGAAUGGUUGUUGUAUUAGUGUCCCUGUUUUCCCACAUCCCCUCCAACAUUCUGCAUUUUCUUUCCCUGUCAUUCUAGCCAAUCUGACAGAUGUGUAGUGAGAUCUCAGAGUUGUCUUAAUUUGCAUUUCUCUGAUUAAUAAUGACUUGGAGCAUCUUUUCAUAUGACCAGAAAUAGUUUCAGUUUCUUCGUCUGAGAAUUGUCUGUUCAUAUCCUUUGACCAUUUAUCAAAUGGAAAAUGGCUUGAUUUCUUAUAAAUUAGAGUAAAUUCUCUAUAUAUUUUGGAAAUGAGGCCUUUAUCAGAACCUUUGACUGUAAAAAUGUUUUCCCAAUUUAUUGAUCCCCUUCUAAUCUUGUCUGCAUUAGUUUUGUUUGUACAAAAACUUUUCAAUUUGAUAUAAUCAAAAUUUUCUAUUUUGUGAUCAAUAAUGAUCUUUAGUUCUUCUUUGGUCAUAAAUUCCUUCUUCUUCCCCAGGUCUGAGAGGUAAACUAUCCUAUGCUCUUCCAAUUUAUUUAUAAUCUCAUUCUUUAUGCCUAGGUCAUGAAUCCAUUUUGACCUUAUCUUGGUGUAUGGUGUUAAGUGUGGGUCAAUGCCUAGUUUCUGCCAUACUGAUUUCCAAUUUUCCCAGAAAUUUUUGUCAAACAGUGAGUUCUUAUCCCAAAAGCUGGGGUCUUUGGAUUUGUCAAACACUAGAUUGUUGAAGUUAUUGACUAUUUUGUCCUGUGAAGCUAACCUAUUCCACUGAUCAAUUAAUCUAUUUCUUAGCCAAUACCAAAUGGUUUUGGUAACCACUGCUUUAUAAUAUAAUUUUAGAUCUGGUACAACUAGGCCACCUUCAUUUGAUUUUUUUUUUUUCAUUAAUUCCCUUGAAAUUCUUGAUCUUUUGUUUUUCUAUAUGAACUUUGUUGUUAUUUUUUCUAGGUCAUUAAAAUAGUUUUUUGGGAGUCUGAUUGGUAUAGUGCUAAAUAAAUAGAUUAGUUUAGGUAGUAUUGUCAUCUUUAUUAUAUUUGCUCACCCAAUCCAAGAGCAUUUAAUAUUUUUCCAAUUGGUUAAAUUUUUUUUUAAACAAACUGCAGCUCUUUGCUGGUUCAAAUAUUAAUUGCUUCUACUGUUUAAUUGAUAUUUUAAAGAAUCUUUCAGAUUCUUUUAUAUGGAAUUGGGUAUUCUGUAUAAGUUUAAUUGAUUGUAUCCUGAGGUUAUGCCCAUCAUUUAAAAGGCUUCUGAAAAUAAUAGUUUUUUCCUUGUCUUUUUGAAAAUGUUUCUGAUAAAUAUGAAAGAUAACUUGUGAACUUACUGAAACAAAUUUAUUACUGUUAUCAAUAUGAGGUUAUGACAUUUCUAAAAAUUUAAUAGUUUUAAGAACCUCUUGGAUUCUUUUAUGUGGUAUUAGGAUAUUCUGUAUAGGAUAUCCUAAAUUUUAAUUGAUUAUAUUGGGUUAUACUGAAGUCAUUUAAAGAGCCUCUGAAAAUAAUAUUUUUGUCUUUUUGAAAAUGUUUCUGUUAUGGACAAUAUGUAAUUUGGAAAUAUCUGUUUAGGAUUUGUCUGAAACUUAGUUAAUAUAAUUUGUUAUUAGAAGUAAAAUUCUUUGGGCUUAUAGUUAACACUAUUUGGGAGUUUCAAAGCUCCACAGUUGGUGGGACAAUUAACUGGAAUAAAAAUGAAUUAAAGCUAUUUUAUCCUCUUUUGCUGAAAGUUGAGUUUUAAUUGCUCAUAUUAUGGUUGUAUCCCUGCAUUUUUUCCUCCCGUAACUAAUUUCUAUGAUCAGAGCAAUGAUCAAUAAGAAACUGUUAAUGCAAUUCAAUUAUGUCAUACAUUGCUAUUUCCAAUCUGGUUAUAUGCUAUCAUUAUAUCCUGAAUAUUUGACAAAUGAGUAUUUACCCUGGUCAUCUAUCUGUUACUGAAUAUUUGUGUCUAUGGAUAUUCAGGUUUUUAAAGGUUUCUAAAUAAUGAGAGAGCAAAAGCCUAACUGCCGUUUUAUCUAUUGGGAAGCUGCUGGCCAAUUCAUACUGGCCUUUUCACAUUCUGUAUCAGUCUGUUCUAAUCUUUACUUGUUAGAUUUGUGUUUUUUGUUCUAGAUUUUGAUCAAAAUUACAGGUAUUGACUUGCUUCUGAGACAUGGAUCAGUCCAUCUAAAGCUUUGGUAGCAGGCAGCACGGCCACGCCCAUUCCCUCCCUGGACUGAGCAUCUGCUCAGCAGGAAGCAGUUUUUGAGAGAUGACUCAAAAUCAUUUGGACUGAUAUUGGGGAGUGGGAAAGUGGUUGAAUUAUUAUUAAAUUUUUAACUGUAUCACUGUAUUUAAGAUUUGUUAAAACUGUUUAAUUGUUGUAUGUUUGAGGGAUUUUUAGGAAAAUUACUGUACUAGUCUGUUAUAUAUAGGAAUUUCGAUUCACUCUUGGGAUUUAUAUGUGGAAUGGUCAAAUGAUAAUUUUUUUUUCAGUGAAAAAAAAAAGGGAGGAAGGAAACUGGUUGAAACUGGUCAGGAAAUUGGGAAAACUAUGUAUUUUUCUUCUGCCCUGCCACCUAUCUCAUUAGUUCAGAUUGAGUUGGAAAUUAUAUUUUAACUUUGAAAUCCCUUAUUUUGCUGGAAUUGCCCUGGCCGACUCAGUUUUGGGGAUUUUUUUUUUUUUUUAGAAACAACCAGAAAUCAGACACCUGUCUUGCGACUGGCAGUUUCUCUGAUCUGUUUCUCUACUCCUGUUACCAUAGUUCCUUAAUUAGUAUUGACAUCAGGACACUAAUAGUUCGGGGUUGCCUGCCUUGGUCUAACUGCAUAAUCUGCUCAGAAAUCUGUUUCCUAAGUAGCAGCGCCUGUUCUAUCAGAGGGGACGGGUGGAGCUACUCCAGGCCCCACUUUUUCUCCCUGGGAGUCCCUGACAGACUAAGAGGGGGGCUGCCCUCUUAGGAUGGCCAGCAGGACUAUCUUAGCACCUAUAUAAGCAGAGGCUGAGUUAAAUGCACAAAUGACCACAGUCCUAACUCACAGUGAACUGUCCAUCCCAAACUGGAUUCUCUGGCUCAACUGCAGAGGAUCUGCCAUUUCUGCAACAGGGAGGCCUGUGUGUCUCCCUAAAUGAGGAAUGCUGUUUUUAUGCUAAUAACCCUGGGGUUCUCAGGAAGAGACUUGUCUUUGCCAAAAGUCCUUGCAUUAUUCUAGUUUUAUUUUGGUUUAUUUGCUUUACAUAUGGUCAAAAUUAUGGUGCUAAGAUCUUCUAGAGGAAGGUAAAUAUUCAGAAGAGAGUAUGGAAUGUUAUGCUUUUAUUAUUCUGACUCAAGUUUCCCUAAUUAUCCUGGCCCAGUCCUGACUCAGUUUCUCUAAGUGUUCUGCCUCAGUUUAUAAUUGUCCUGCAAAACCUCCCCUCCCUCUUUAUCAGAAUAUUUGAUAAGAAUAAAAGAUCUUAUGUUUUAGAAUGUCAGGAUGCUUCUCCUCAUCCCAAGCUAUCAGAAUGUCAGAUACCAUCUUAUCAAGAUGCCUCUCCCCAUGUCUGGGGUGUCUCCCCCCUAUUAUGUCAUCCCUCUCUGGUGGCUUUCCUCACCCUGUCAGAGUCCCGUUCCCACUCUCAGCACCCUGACUCUGCCCCUGCCUGUCUAUCCCCUGAGUCUGAGUCACAUGUAUAUAUGUCAUUGAGAACUCACAUUGUUUGCUGGAUUUUUGGAGAUGAUAGUUUCAUUCAGCCCUGGGACCAAACCAUGGAUCUAUUUGGUCCCAGUAAAUCUCUCCCUUUCAAAUAAAUUAUUAAAUACUCUCUAAUCUCUAUCUUGCCUCAGUUUCUCUGGCAUUACACAUAUAGUUCCUCUGUGUGUAUUGGCAGAUAGAUUCCCUAUUGUUUUAGAAUAUAUGUAUUUAUUCUGAAUGGAAUGUUUCUCUCUCCUACUGAGUUUUGUUGGUAAUACAUGGAAAUACUAAUUAUUUGUGUGGGGGGGGUUAUUUCAUAUUUUGCAACUUUGCUGAAGUUGUUUUGUUGAGCUUUUUAAAGUUAAUUUCCUACAAUUCUCUAAGUAAAUCAUCAUUUCAUCUGAAGAGAAUAAUAAUUUUGUUUCCUUCUUGCCUAUCCUUAUUUUUUCAAUCUCUUUUUCUUUUUUUCUUACUAUGGUUAGCAUUUCUAGUACAAAUAUAAGUGAUGCUCAUGGACAAUAUUGCUUCACCUCUGAUCUUUUUGGAAAGGCUUCUACCUUAACCCUCUUACAGAAAAUAAUUGCUCUUAGUUUUAAAAAUAUAUUACUUAUAAUUUUAAGGAAAGUUCCAUUUAUUAUUGUUCUUUCUAAUAUUUUUUUCCUUUUUAAAUAGGAAUGGAUAUUGUAUUUUGUCAAAAGCUUUUUCAGCAUUUAUUGAAAUAAUCAUGUGAUGUUUCAUUUUUUGUUGUUAUUACCAUCAGUUAGGCUUAUUGUUUUCCUAUAUUGAAUAAACCUGCUAUUCCUGCCAUAAAUCUAGCCUGGUCAUAGCUUAUUAUCUUUGUGAUGUAUUGUUAUAAUCUCUUUGCUAGUAUUUUAUUUCAUUUUUACAUUAAAAUUCAUUAGGAAAAUUAGAUGGUAGUUUUUGUUUCUUUUUAUGUAUUAACUUCCCCUGGUUUAGGUUGCAAAACCAUAAUUGCAUAUUAGAAAGAAUUUGGUUUUAAAGAUUUCUUCUUUAUCCCCCCCCCCCCCCCCAGCCAAUUUAUGUAGUAUUAAAAGUGUUUAACUGCUUAGUAGAGAUCACUUGAAAAUUCAUCAAGUCCUGAGCAUUUUUUCCCCUUAGGUAAUUAUUUUAUGGCUUGUUUAAUUUCUUUUUAUAAAACAAAGUUAUUCAAGUAUUGUAUUUCUUAUUCUGCAAAUCUGGGCAAUUUAUAUUUUUGCAAAUAUUCAUCCAUUUCAUUAAGAUAGCCAAUUUUAUUGGCAAAUCAUUGGGCAAAAUAUUUCUUAAUACUUGCUGUUAUCUUCAUUGAUUGUGAAUUCAUUUUUUUCAUUUUGGAUACUGAAAAUUAAGUUUUUCUUUAUUUUUAAAAAUCAAUUAAUCAAUGGUUUAUGUUUUAAAAUCCCUAAUUUUAUUUAUUAAUUCAAUAUUUUAACUUUUAAUUUUGCUAGUUUCUACUUCAACUUUCAUAUAUAUAUUUUUUGGUUUUUAGCUGAGUGAUUUCAGUUGGUUUCUUUUCUAAUUUAAAAAAAAAACUUUUCAUGCCUGAUUCAUUGAUUUUUUUCUUUCUCUCCACUGAUGUUUAGAGAUAUAAGUACUACUUUGGCUGCAUCCCAGAAGUUUGAUAUGUUAUCUCAUUGUUAUUAUCUUUAAUGAAAUGAUUAUUUCUAUAUUUUGUUUUUUUGGCCUACUCUUUAAAGAUUAAAUUACUUAGAUUCCAGUAUUUCUUGAUCAAUACAUAAAAGACUCGUUAUUGAAUAUAAUUUUUAUUGUAUUAUGGCCAGAAAAAGAUACAUUGAAUAGUUUUGUUUUUCUGUAUUUGUUUAUGAGAUUUUUAUAUUCUUAUACAUAGCCAAUUUUUGUAAAGGUGCCAUAUACAGCUGAGAAUAGGCAUACACCUUUCUAUUCAUAUUCAAUAUUCUCUAGAGGGCUAUCAUAUCUAACUUUUCUAAAAUUCUAUUUAUUUCCUUAACUUGUUUAUUUUUUAUUUUGGUAAGAUUUAUUUAGAUAUGAUGGUAUAAAUUGAGGUCCUCCAGUACUAUGACUUUAUUAUCUAUAUCCCCCUGCAACUCAUUUAACUCUUCCUUUAAAAAUUUAGAUGAUAUAACAUUUGGUACAUAUGUUUAGUAUUAAUAUUAAUAUAUUAUAUAUGGUACCUUUUAUUGAAAUGUAGUUCCCUGUUUAUUUCUUUUAAUUAGGUCUAUUUUUGCUUUUGCCUUGUCUGAGAUCAUGAUUGCUACCCCUGCUUUUCUGCUUCAUCUGAAGUAAAAUAGAUUCUGGUUCAGUGCCUUAUCAUGACUCUUUGUGUGUCUCAGUGCUUCAAAUGCAUUUCUUGUGAACAACUUAUGGUUGAAUUCUGAUUUCUAAUCGGUUUUCCUGUCCUUUUCUUUUUUAUGGGUGAGUUCAUGCCACUUACUUUGCCAGUUAUGCUAGAUAACUGUAUAUUUCCUUCCAUCUUAUUAUCUUAUACUUAUUCUCUUUGUCUCUCUCUGUCUCUGUCUCUGUCUCUUGUCUCUUUUUUUCUCUUUCUCUCUCACUCUCUCUUCUCUCCCUUGUUGUCUCCUUAAGAAUCAAUUUUGCUUCUGGCCACUAUCUCCCUUAUUUUACUCUCUUUUUUAAAAAUCACUUUCCCUUUUUUCUUCCAACUUCCUUGUUGGAUAAAAUGAAUUUCCAUAUAUUCUAUGCAUGUGUGCAUAUCUUUCUAGAACUUGAUGAGAAUGAAUCAGCUCCAGGUGUUUACCACACCAUUUCUUUGUAUAAACUCUUCCUUGCUUGCUCCAUUUAUGUGAGAUAAUUUUUCCUAUUCUUCC
rnacentral:lncRNA from 1 species